UGUGAUCUGUCGGCUCACGGCUGGGUUUGACGUCACGCGACCAAACUACGUAGGUAUAUAUAACUCUAU